rnacentral:rRNA from 1 species
UGUAAUGAUUCCCCUUCCCGUAGGGGAACCUGCGGAAGGAUCAUUA